AGCAGUUUAGCUUAAAGGUAGAGCACUCUGACCGGAAAUCAGAGGGGUGUGAGUUCGAUCCUCAUGGUUGGUU
rfam:Octopus bimaculoides Scaffold49378_contig_41, whole genome shotgun sequence.